rnacentral:rRNA from 1 species
UACGGAGGGGGCUAGCGUUGUUCGGAAUUACUGGGCGUAAAGCGUACGUAGGCGGCUUUGUAAGUUAGAGGUGAAAGCCCGGAGCUCAACUCCGGAAUUGCCUUUAAGACUGCAUCGCUUGAAUCAUGGAGAGGUUAGUGGAAUUCCGAGUGUAGAGGUGAAAUUCGUAGAUAUUCGGAAGAACACCAGUGGCGAAGGCGGCUCACUGGCCCGGUACUGACGCUGAGGUGCGAAAGCGUGGGGAGCAAACAGG